GCUGUUCAGUUGAAUUGGGCUGACUAGUCCCUUGCAGCGACAGCAGAUGGCUCCCCAAGCGCGCACAUGGCGAUAUUUGUUGCCGCCGCUCUACACUACUACCUGUCAACUGAGAAAAUGUUGAGGGUACGGCACUUGGGUGAAGAAUUGUCCAACUCGUCAUAGUGAUAGCAACAUACACCAAAUCUGCAUCAGAUUAUGCAUUGAAUGGCUUUCAAAUGACAUAAUUUCCAAGUUCUUCAGGGUUAUACUAUGAUAAUAUAGGACAAAUAAAGAGAUACAGCACUACUUUGAUAAUUGUUACCUAUGUAAAUUUGGAUUCCAUAACAGAAAGCAUUAAGACAGCAGAAAGAUAUGAUAAAGCAGUGGUACAAAGGUUCAGAGACACGUUACAACAAUUAAAUGUAGGUUUAAUAGAGUGUUGUUUAUUAGACCAACAGGUAACAUAUCAUGUAGAGAAAAUUAUAGGUCUGCGGUGACUAGUACAACAGCUGACAAAGCAUGAGACAAGAAGAAAAAGAGAAAUCUUUAGCUUUACAGGCUAGCACUUACACUACCAAAAGAGAUCCUUGAAAUGAAAGGAAAGUAUGUGUACAUACAGCUAGAAAAAGAGUUCUUGCUGAUAGAGGAGUCCAAAAGGCAAUAUACGAAACUUUCAGCAGAGCAGUUAAACUUCAGAGAAUUAAGCAAAAAUAGAUGACUGUGCAUUGUUAUCAAUUUUUGAUCAUGUAGAGUGUGAAGCAAAAUUGUUGCAACAGGUGAGAGAAAUUAUGGAAGAUUGGGUACAAAGAACAGUUGGAUUGAAUCAGAGCAUUUAAACAGUAAUGAAUGGUUAUAUAUAGCUCCAAAAGAAGAAGUAUUGAUCAUUUUAUGUGGGAGAGAAGCUUCUAAGGACACAUAUUGUGGAAAAAUACACAUACGAAACACUAUUGUGAAGCAGUAUCCUGAAACCAGUUUGGCUCGGAGACAUUUCAAUAGAGAAACUUACGUUGUAGUUAUUUAUAAAAGGUGUCCAAAGGGCCAAGAUGAGUCAGUAUCAUUUAGGAAUAGAUGUUAAGAUGAAAAGAAAUUGUAAAACUUAAGUAAAAUGAAGUUGUUAAAAUAAAACAGUAAAAGUUGACAAAAUAAGUGAAUUAAAUGUACCCAAGCAAUACACAAAUGUAAAAUAUGAAAUGAAAUGUCUAUGCCAAUGUUAAUUAUAAAUAUCAAAGUGUUAAUGUCAAUUAUCCAUGUUUUAAUGUAAAUGUGUUAAUGUCAACAUGCUGAUGUAAAUAUAAUUCAACCAAAAUAUGUAAAAGAAGCAAAACAAAUGCAAAAUGUAUAGCAUUUUUGUCAGAGGUGAAUAAAAAACCUCACAAUUGGUGCUACUCUGAAGAGUAAUACCAAUUCUGCUGGCAGGGGAGG